GAAAGAUUGAAGUAGCUUUGAGAACGCAGGACGCCCCCUUGUGUUAGCAGAAACACAUCUGAGUAAAUUCAAAGUCCAACAUUUCAUCAAGCCAAGCUACAUCAGUAGAUGUGCAAAUUGAAAGAAAAUCAAAAUGAUAGUUGCUUUGUUUUGUUUUUUCUAGCAUGUUUCCUUAAUAAAGCUGUGAACAUGAUCAAAGGUCCGAGUCAUGAGACUAAAAACAAAAACAGGAUCCUGGAUCCUGUUGGAGCUGAGAAUGACAAACAGAAGAGCAGCGAUUCAUCAACUUGGGUGGUGGUCGUCGUGGUGAUUGUGGCGAUUGCUGUUAUCCUCCUGGUUUGUGCUGCUGUCGUCAACAGAAAAAGCUGGUUUGGCAAGAAGAAAACCUUGAUGAUCACAGGCAAAGAUGGCAGUGAGGGCAAUGGGACGGCAGCAGCGGUGGCAGUGGCAGCUUCCAGCCCUCAUAACCAGGAGAGGGAGCAAGAAAUGGUCACCCUCAUGAGCAAGGAGAACAUCCGGGAGAACGGCAACACGGAGGAGUUCACCGUCAUCAAACUGGAGGAGUCUCCGGAUAAAGACCAGCAGGCGUGA
rnacentral:lncRNA from 1 species